rnacentral:rRNA from 1 species
CCUACGGGUGGCAGCAGUGAGGAAUAUUGGUCAAUGGCCGGAAGGCUGAACCAGCCAAGCCGCGUGAAGGACGAAGGUGCCAAGCAUUGUAAACUUCUUUUGUCAAGGGACAAAAUCAGGCUCGAGAGCCUGACCGAGGGUACUUGAAGAAAAAGCAUCGGCUAACUCCGUGCCAGCAGCCGCGGUAAUACGGAGGAUGCGAGCGUUAUCCGGAUUUAUUGGGGUAAAAGGGUGCGUAGGCGGACUGUUAAGUCAGCGGUAAAAGCCCGGGGCUCAACCCCGGCGAGCCGUUGAAACUGGCUGGCUUGAGAGCGCGAGAGGUAAGCGGAAUGCGCAGUGUAGCGGUGAAAUGCUUAGAUAUUGGGCAGAACUCCGAUUGCGAAGGCAGCAUACCGGCGGCGAUCUGACGCUGAGGCACGAAAGCGUGGGUAGCGAACAGGAUUAGAUACCCGAGUAGUC